CAGAUAUUUUCAGUAGUUAGAAGUUACAUAGUUUAAUUAAAGAGAAAGGUGAUAUUUGUUAUAGAGCGAGGAUGACCCAGGCAGCUAUUACCCUCGUUCUUCUAUCAAUUUGUAUUAUGGGUAUACAGAGUGAAGGUGUCCAUUCGGCUCUCCGAGAUCCCACUCCUAAAUUGAUCGGGGGUUGUAAAUAUCGAAGAGCACACAUGUGUUAUCUGAACGCAGGAGGGAAGUGCGCGCAGUGGUGUGCAAAGCUUGCCGAUGAAUUGAAAACAAACUAUGGUUAUAUACACGGUUGUCGCUAUGGUAACUAUCAGAACGUCCAUAGAUAUUGUCGUCAAGGCCGAGACAAAAUGAAUUGUGGACACUGUAACCAGAAUCAAGCUGCGUGCUGCGGUACAUGUAAACAGGAUUGUAACAUUGAUUUAAAUUAUGUGGAUAAAUAAAAUGAUGAAGCCAGGGGAAGAACGAUCUAAGUCACAUUUUUGUCUUUUCGCAUAAAAGACAAAACAGACUUUUGGACGAGAAUGCUUGACGCGAAAACAGAAAAAGAGUGGGUUUAAUUACAACUUCAAAAUGAUGUUUAAUACGAAUCAUAAUUACCAGUACAACAACUGACUUCCACUUUUCAGCCAAAUUAUGGUCAAAUAAAGAGUACGAUGGACGUAUUUGUCCGGGAGGCCAUUUCAGAAGGUCCUUGGUUCGAUGCGACUCCGGUCGUUCUUACCUGAAAUUGAUUGUUCCACAGAAAGCUUAUACAAUUUGCUACCAGAUGGCGCCAUUAAUUGGGGUUCAUUGAAAAAGUAACUUAGAUCGUUCUUCCCCGGGGCUCUUCAAAUUAUUACUUGA